CGGGGUGCACCAGGCGCGAAACCUUUGCCAUGCGCGAAAGCGUGACAGGGGAAUUCCGAGUGGUAGGGGGGUUUACCUCCCUAUCUUUUGGCCAAUCCAAACAAUUGGCAGAAUAAGAUCUGGGUAAGACCAGUGCCAGCCGCCGCGGUAAUACUGGCAGAGCAAGUGGUAUCCACGAAUAUUGGGUCUAAAGAGUCCGUAGCGGGCCUGUUAAGUCCACUGUGAAAUCUGGCGGCUCAACCGUCAGGUGUGCAGUGGAUACUGGCAGGCUUGGGAGUGGGGGAGGUCGGGAGUACUCACGGGGUAACGGUAAAAUGUUGUAAUCCUGUGAGGACUACCAGUGGCGAAGGCGCCCGACCAAAACACGUCCGACCGUGAGGGACGAAGGCUAGGAGAACGAAUCGGAUUAGAUACCCGAGUAGCCCUAGCAGUAAAUUAUGCAGACUGUGGUGUUGCGUCGACUUCGAGUCGGCGCAGUGCUGUAGCGUAGGUGUUAAGUCUGCCACCUGGGGAGUACGGCCGCAAGGUUGAAACUUAAAGGAAUUGGCGGGGGAGCAC
rnacentral:rRNA from 1 species